rnacentral:rRNA from 1 species
GAAUUGACGGGGGCCCGCACAAGCGGUGGAGCAUGUGGUUUAAUUCGAUGCAACGCGAAGAACCUUACCUACUCUUGACAUCCAGAGAACUUAGCAGAGAUGCUUUGGUGCCUUCGGGAACUCUGAGACAGGUGCUGCAUGGCUGUCGUCAGCUCGUGUUGUGAAAUGUUGGGUUAAGUCCCGCAACGAGCGCAACCCUUAUCCUUUGUUGCCAGCGGUUCGGCCGGGAACUCAAAGGAGACUGCCAGUGAUAAACUGGAGGAAGGUGGGGAUGACGUCAAGUCAUCAUGGCCCUUACGAGUAGGGCUACACACGUGCUACAAUGGCAUAUACAAAGAGAAGCGACCUCGCGAGAGCAAGCGGACCUCAUAAAGUAUGUCGUAGUCCGGAUUGGAGUCUGCAACUCGACUCCAUGAAGUCGGAAUCGCUAGUAAUCGUGGAUCAGAAUGCCACGGUGAAUACGUUCCCGGGCCUUGUACACACCGCCCGUCACACCAUGGGAGUGGGUUGCAAAAGAAGUAGGUAGCUUAACCUUCGGGAGGGCGCUUACCACUUUGUGAUUCAUGACUGGGGUGAAGUCG